ensembl:miRNA Gm25069 predicted gene, 25069
AUAUAUAUGUAUGUGUGUGUGUGUGUGUGUGUGUGUGUGUGUACACACACACACACACACACAUACAUAUAUGCACACAUAUACAC